GAAAACAUAGAUCCAAGGUUUAUAGGGUUGCAUGUACACCAUAGGAGUGUUAGAAUGCUCAAAACCCAACAGUGGUAUCAGAGCCUAGGCUUGUUUUCUUGUUAUACUUGCAAAACUGCUUAAAAAAUCGAAUUUGUUGCUGUCUGAUCAUCAGACUCGGCGAGUCCAUGACUAAAAUGUGAUCAAUUCGAUCCAAGUCGCCGAGUUGGUUCAUGCACUCGACGAGUUGGACCCCCAGACAGCAUAUAUUCGACUUUUUUGGCUAGAAUUGGACUAGGAACAUUACCCUAAGAUGUUUUUGAACUUAUAAACUUGUUUUUGAUGUGGUAAUGUUCAUGCUAAUCCAAUUUCAAAGAUAAUUGUCAAUAGAUUCAUGUUUUGUAUUAGUUUAAGGUUUAGACUAAUUACAUGAAAAAGUUUGAUUUGAAUUAUCUUGUUCUUAUGAGUUGCUUAGAUUAAUAGAAAAGUUGAGUGAAAUAGUUGUUUUCAAUCCAAAUUAAUCUAAGAGUUGAUUCUAAAAUGUGUUUUUGUAACUUGUCCUCAAGUUAUAUGAAAAGUCACAUUUAAGUUUCAUAAAACUCAUAAAAGUUGGCAAAGGUUACAAAAUGAAGAGUCUAGUUCUAAUUAAAUGGUUUUAUGACUCCAUAACUUGUCCUCAAGUUAUGGAGGACCAAGAGUCUCUUCAUUAAAUAAUAAAUAAAAAAAAAAGUGUAACCUUAAUUAAUUCCAUAAGUUAUAAAAUAAAGAAAAGUUAAUUCUUUUAUUAGUUUAAAGUCUUCCAUAACUUGUCCUCAAGUUAUGGAACUUGAAGAGUUUUUGGAUUAAAACUACUUUAAACACAUAAGUUAUGGAAUUAAUUAGUUUUGAAUAGUUUCAAAACUUGCCCUCAAGUUUUGGAAUUUGAAAAGUUUUCUCUUAUGAAUACUUUAAUUCCAUGUUUAGCCCUUAUAAUUUUAAAAUUUAAAAUUCAACCCUUAUGCUUUAUAAUAUUAUAAGUUAAUAAUAUUUAUAUAUCUGUAUAAGAGUAAAGUCAGACUUACCGUUAGUUGGCCUCAUUCACGAAGCCGGUCUAUAAGGGGGAAGGUUGUUGCCUAUAAAAUGGCAACUUAAUGGGUGUCCACUCUCACCCACCGCUUGCUUGACUGGUGGAGGGUCGUUAGCCGAACGGGUUUGACAGGACUAGAAUUCUCCCUUCAUUAAAAGUAUUAAUGAUAAUACUAAGUAACUAAACUCUUAAUAAUACCCAAUCUUAGUUACUUAGGAAAAAUGUGAAUAAGGUGCUAAUCCAUGAAAUUACACUUUACACUUUGUCUAAGUCGUUAGUGGAGCGUGUGUGGUUAACCGGCACACUAACUCGUAUUUAACAAGGUAGGCAAAGGGUAACUUAAUGUUUAUCAUAGUAUCGAUGGAGCGUGUGUGGUUAACCAGCACAUCGAUUGAGGGGUAAACACUUAAGGGUACCAAGUAAUUUGCAUGGUUACUUCACACCUUGUUUUGUGAUCCUCGGCAUCCCAGUCACAAAACCUGAAGGGCACACUCGAGAUUGAAACAUGCCAUUGAAAGUUCAAUGAAUCUCAAAGAUCUAGGAGUUUCAAAUCCAAUUAAAACCUAAUAAAUUAUUUCGUUUUUCAUGGUGGAAAUUGGUGAAUCGUCAUUCACCUACCUUCAAAUAUUCUAUAGCUUGGAUUACGGCAUCCCUCUUCCAACUUAUAAAAUAGUUUGUUGGGUCCUAGCCUUAAUAUUUCAUAUUGAGUGUUAUAUUAAGGACUUUAAAUCAACUAUCUUGAAUAUCUCCCAAAAGAUGUCUAGUUCAGACAUCUAUGAUAUUCCCAAAUAUCGUGGAACUUCACUUCUUCCAGCUCCUCCAAUUAUUCUCCCUAACCCACAAGUUCAAGGUCACUCAAACCCUAUUGGAAAGUCAAGGUCUAGGUGUGAUCACAUCUUGGAGAUGAAGUCACAUACUGACAAGCCGGGAGAGUUGGGUGUCAAAGUCUUGAGAAAGUUAGUGGUUCAAUCACUUUCUAAGUCACGUAGUGAGUUCCUUUAGGACUCCUAUGAAAUAGACUAUGACAAGACCCUUAAUGAUCUUAUCUAUUUGCUUGGUGCUGCUAAAUAAAAAAUGCUUUAGUGUACUAGUAAAGCAAAUUUGAUUAGGUGAUCAACUUCCCAAAACUUUAUGGACAGGGAUAAUAGUGACACAGGAAAUCCAGAAAUGCAUUCUCUUCCCAAUGGAAAGGGAUUGGCCAUAGUCAACUUGGUUGACCAAAUGGUAAAGAGAAAGGCUAAGUCUGAGAUAGUCCCAUGUACUAUUACCUAAGGGUCCAUAUGUUUCUAUUGCCAAAGGAAGGGGCUUUGGUUAUGAAGCUGCCAAACUUACCUAAGGAUGAUAAAGUCAAUAAGUUCGACUUCAUUUCAGGUAAAGUCCAUUGUCUAACUCUAUUAAGUUCCUACUUGGAGAUUCUUAUUACAUGAUGUGGAUGGAUCACAUGUUGAUGUUUUAAGAAUCAAAGAAAGCAAAAGAAUCUUAAAGGAAGUAUAUGCUGAUUCUGUUCGCAAAGAUGGAUUUCAAUCGUAUGGUUCGGUGAUUGGAAUUUUGAGCACGUGCUUAAGAGUUAUGAUAGAUUGCUUAGGAAUAGAUGACAAGAAGUUUUCAUAUACAUCUGCAUUGUAAGGAUUAGUUUUUCCGCAAAGUUUUAAAAUAAAAGAAAAGUUUUUAAUUUUAUUUAUUUUAAAAUAUCCUUACAAUGGCAUUUGGGAAAAAAAUGUUGUUUAUAUGAUUCCAUUGAUAGCAAUAUUGGAAAUNUAUGAAAUUGAUUCUUUCAUUUGUGGUAAUGUCUAGAUUUACCAAAUAAGGAAAGAUUCUCAUCACCCAAGUUUUAGUUGGUUAGAAACUUGGAAUCAUGCAAGUUGUAUAGUAUGAUGAAUGACAACUUUCAAGUAUUGGAAAAUUAAGACUAAUUACUUGUUCACAUGGAUGUGUGAGUCAAGUGAAGGACUAAGGGAUCGAGUACACAUUCUUGUGCACUGAUUAAGUCCACCACAAAAGAUUGAUAAGACUAUUCGUCAUAGUUUACUAAAGCUCAGUAAAUAUGAUUAUACUUACAAGCUUAAGUGUAACUCUGAGACAUUGGAAAAGGUUCCAAUGUAUGGCAGGGCGAAUAAGAAGAAUCAAAUUAGGCAGAAGGAUAAAAGUUUCUCAAAUCUGAAAAGAUGGGAGAGUACUUUAGUAUCAGUUUUGUGAUCAUCUUAAUGAUUAAGAAACCAUAUCAAAAUUAGUUCUCUAAGGAAAUCUUAGUGCAUUCUUAUGACUAAGAAGAGGAACUUGAAUUGUUGAAAUGGUUAAAUCAAGAAGAUGAGUCAUACUUCGUUCCAAUACAAGUCUUAGAGUCAUACUCCAAGAUUGUCAUUUGAGUGACAUGUCUUAAAGAAGGUUUAAAACACUUGUCAAAUGUAAGAGUAAAAGUUUUCUACUCUUGUACAUUUGAAAUUGGUAAGUUGUGAUGUUUUGGAUAAAACAAAGACCAACUUAGGCCAAUUGGGUAAAGUGUUUUUCUUGAUUAGAAUCCGCACUAUCUCUUGGAUGUUUGACAAGGGAGUCUUAUAUGUCAAGAGGACAGUGGGAGUCUUAAAGGUCUUGAAAGUCUCAAGAACUAAUCAAGAAUAAAACCUGAAGUUCUUCACUAGCACACGACUUGAGGUUCAUAACCUAUCGUGUUGACAUAUUCUGUGCCCAUUCCAGUUAAAGUUGGCUUUGCAUAUGAGUUCUUAGAGUUCUCAAUUUGUUGCACAACAACUUGGAAGCAAUGGCAGGCCCUUGAGCUGCCAGGUGGCAAGAAAUUAAGAUUGAGUUCAGUCCAUAUGAGUUUGGAUUUGUCAUUAUCCUUGUCUUGUGACUAUGGUUUUGACAAUUCACAUGGAUAAGAACACAUACACCAUUAAAUCUAAGUGUCAUAAGGUUUCUCUCCGAUUCAUGAAAAUGAUGGUGAGGAAACACUUUCACUAAGUAGAUUUUAGCUAGAUAGCAAUUGUGAUAUUUGCAUUCUCAAAGUCGUUAGUGGAGCGCGUGUGGUUAACCGGCACACUAACCUGGACUUGUGAGAAGUGGCAAAAAGGUCUAACCAUUAUGAUUACGGCAUACCUCUUCAUAAUUGUUUAGACACACAAGUGUGCUAUCUAAGGGAAGGUGUAUGAUUUUGAUAAAGUUUUAUCAAAACAAUCUAGCAUCAGAAAUCUGAACUUUGGUAAGAAAGUCAAUGAAGUAUUGAUUUCUAGAAGUCCAGCUGAUUUCUGAGUACAUGUCAAAGCUAGUGGGAGCAUAAGUGUUAUGCUAAUAAUCAUCAUGUUAGUGGGAGCAUGAUAAUUAUGAUAAGUAUUGCAAGUUAGCAAUGUUAAUUAUAGAAAACAAAAGUUUCAAUUGGGAAAAAGUUGUUUUGCUAUAAUUAAGGGAGAGGAAAUUAUGCUUCAUCUCAAAUCUAUAAGCUUAGAUCGUGAGGUUUUAAUCAUUUAGUCAAGGAUAUAUAUGAAUUUCAUGUUGGAAUGGCUCAACAUAAGGAAAUUCUAUAUAUGGGUCCAUUAUUUGCGUUCUAAAAUUCGAUUAUGAUUACGGCAUCCCUUUUCAUAAUCUGAAUUAUGAGAACUUGGCAAAUAGAAAUGGAAAUAUUAUAGCAAAAGACUGGUUUAGUCUUUAUGUGAGACAUCAUGAAUCGUGUCCCAUAUGCUUCGGAUAUAGGAUCGAUUACAUGUGCUAUAUUCAUCCUUUCUAAAAUUUUCCAAAUGCCUGGGGCAUUAAGAAGGGAAAAGGUCUAGAAUUGGAUAUGACUAAAAUGAUUAAGCAAUUGUUGAGGACAAUCUAAGGUUUAACAAGGAUUGGUUUCUCAAGGACAGUUGGAAGUAUAGUGUUGACUUUGGAAGGACCAUAUUGACAUAGUCUGAAAAGAGGCAACUCUUGUUCAGAAGUGAUAGUCAAAAUGGAAUAUGGAAAUGGUUGAAAGUUAGAAAGUAUUCAAUCUGUAAGAUUAGGAAACUUAAUGCAAGAAGGAUGUUUCCAAGGAGUUGAUCUCCUUUGGAAUACUCUGUAAUGAUUGUUGCCAAGUCUUUGUGAAUUUGUGCAUAAUCAUUACAAGAGGAUCAAUGCAUAUAAGUUUAGAAUCUAACAGAUUUCAGUAAAUGGCAUGAAUUUGGAAUUCUUUUAUUUGCAGUAAGGAAUUGGGACCGUGAAAUGAGAAUCAUUGAAGUUAUGUUCAAUUGGUCUAUUUCACAUUGUAAAGAUCGUAGACAAACAUAGUGUGCACACUUAGUGUGUGGCAUGACUAGUGUUUAGAAAACAUAGUUUAAAUGCUUGGAGCAUGGUAUAACUAGUGUUUUAAUUCAAGUAUAAAGUUGAUAAAACCGAAACAAUGAAUAAUGAGUAAUCAGUAUGGUGAUAAAUAAAAGUGUUUAUUUAUAUUCAUAGGGUUUGAUACCAUAUUUGAUUCAUUUAUUCUUGUGUUUCACUUUGCAUGUUUUGACUUCCAGAAUAAACUAGGUUAUUCUUCUGGAAUGACUAAGUUAUUCAAACCAUCCACAGUCGGUCAUAUGUUGGAAGUAGAUAUGAAUUAAGACUGUCAUGGGUUGGCUUGUAGAGGUCUAAGAUGUUGGACAAAGGGCUACAACACUCAUGAGUGCUCAUAAGUUCUGAGUAUUGGAUUCAACCCGCGCUCAUUGGAAUCACUUCAUGGAUUUUAUCACGAGUGAUCAUGAGACGAUAAUAUCUUAUAUUCUUCAAACCUAGAGAUAUGAGUUGUUACUAUGAGUUGGUUGUACAUUGAUUGCACGAAAACGCAUUUGGUAACUCGGUGUUAUAAAACGUGCCUUUGUGUAUGAUUCAACAAGUAGUAGAACAAGCCAUAUGAGUCGAAGUUUAUCCAUUCCUUUUACCUUCGGGAUAAAAGCGAUAUCUGUGGGCCCCUUGAUGAUUUAAUGAUGACAAAUGUGAGUGCUUGGCCAAGCCAGGACUGAUUUGAUUUGUUCAAUCAGUCAGUCGUCAUGAAUCGGAAAUCGGGAAACAACAAAUGGACAGAGAGAAUGAUUAUAAUCCAUGUCUCAGUCCAUAUGAUAUCUAGAAUGGAGGAAUAUAUGAUCCCUUAUCUAAUGGACAAGUUUGUUGACAAAGAUCAGAGUUCGGUAGCGGCUUUAAGAGCUACGAUUUCCAGUUAGGUUUUGAAGUCACACUCAAUAGUAGUUUUAGACUUAUCCAAGUGGGAGACUGUUGGAUUAAUGUCUAAGUCCAUAACUAUAUUUGGUAUGUACUUGACCCGACCUGGCAUGGUCCAUUUGGGUUGCACUUCACCGACACAAUUUAUAUGGAUAGUCUUUUGAGAAUAGUAUAUUUAUGAUUUAUAUUAAUAUAUUAUAAGUUCUAAUAUAUUAAUAUGGAAUCAUAUUAUUUAAUUAGUUUUGAUCAAGACUUAAUUUAGAAUUAAUUAAGUGAUCAAAAUGAACUAAUUAAAUAUGGACUCUUAUAUAUAUGGAAUGGGCCAAGUUCAUUUACGUUGGGCUAAGCUUUCAUGGAUAGUCCAUGGAGUGUUUAACCCAUGGAUCAUAUGAAAUGAAAGGUCAUGGGUUUAACCCUAGUCUCCAUAUUAUAUAAAGUUGUCCUUGGUUGGUGAAAUAGACACUAGUGUGGAUACACUAAGAGGGCUAGCCGAUUUCUCUAGAGAGAACCAAGUACCCAUAUUCUCUAAAGUCUUCCAAGGUGUUUUGGUGAUUUGUGAUUCCAUUUGAGGCUUCCACACUAUUGAGGCUAAGCUCUUAAAGCUUGAAGACAUCAAGCUACAUCAAAAGGUAUGUUAUCUAACUGGUACUUUGUAGUAUAAGAACUUCAUAAUAUGCUAGUUAGGAUUUAAGCAUUGGAAAGUUCUUAUUUGCAUGUAUAAUAGAGAAAACAUAGAUCCAAGGUUUAUAGGGUUGCAUGUACACCAUAGGAGUGUUAGCAUGCUCAAAACCCAUCACUUCCACCAACCAUGUAGGCACUCACGUGUGCUAAUCAUACAUAGUGCUAGAUUCUAUAGAGAGUCGAAUAUUUGAUUCUACUCUAAGCCCACAACAAGAUGAGGAAUAGGAAAUAAAGCUAAAUCAAACAUUCUC
rnacentral:lncRNA from 1 species